rnacentral:rRNA from 1 species
AACGCGAAAGGCCCCUUCGGGGGCCGAGUAGAGUGGCGCACGGGUGAGUAACACGUAGGUAAUUUGCCUUCGGGUGGGGAAUAACAGCCGGAAACGGCUGCUAAUACCGCAUAAUGCAGCGGCUCGACAUCGAGACAGUUGUUAAAGCGGGGGAUCGCAAGACCUCGCGCCUGAAGAGAAGCCUGCGGCAGAUUAGCUAGUUGGUAGGGUAAUGGCCUACCAAGGCAACGAUCUGUAACCGGCCUGAGAGGGCGGUCGGUCACACUGACACUGACAUACGGGUCAGACUCCUACGGGAGGCAGCAGUCGGGAAUUUUGGGCAAUGGGCGAAAGCCUGACCCAGCAACGCCGCGUGAAGGAUGAAAUCCCUCGGGAUGUAAACUUCGCAAGAAUGGGAAGAAUAAGUAGAAGAUAACACCUUCUAUGAUGACGGUACCAUUUGUAAGCUCCGGCUAACUCCGUGCCAGCAGCCGCGGUAAUACGGGGGGAGCAAGCGUUGUUCGGAUUUACUGGGCGUAAAGGGCGCGUAGGCGGCCACGACAAGUCACUUGUGAAAUCUCCGGGCUUAACUCGGAACGGUCAAGUGAUACUGUCGGGCUAGAGUGCAGAAGGGGCAACUGGAAUUCUCGGUGUGGCGGUGAAAUGCGUAGAUAUCGAGAGGAACACCUGCGGCGAAGGCGGGUUGCUGGGCUGACACUGACGCUGAGGCGCGAAAGCCAGGGGAGCGAACGGGAUUAGAUACCCCGGUAGUCCUGGCCUUAAACGAUGAAUGCUU